rnacentral:rRNA from 1 species
AAUAGAUACCCAGGUAGUCCACCCCGUAAACGUUGGGAACUAGUUGUGGGGUCCAUUCCACGGAUUCCGUGACGCAGCUAACGCAUUAAGUUCCCCGCCUGGGGAGUACGGCCGCAAGGCUAAAACUCAAAGGAAUUGACGGGGACCCGCACAAGCGGCGGAGCAUGCGGAUUAAUUCGAUGCAACGCGAAGAACCUUACCAAGGCUUGACAUAUAGAGGAAACGGCUGGAAACAGUCGCCCCGCAAGGUCUCUAUACAGGUGGUGCAUGGUUGUCGUCAGCUCGUGUCGUGAGAUGUUGGGUUAAGUCCCGCAACGAGCGCAACCCUCGUUCUAUGUUGCCAGCACGUAAUGGUGGGAACUCAUGGGAUACUGCCGGGGUCAACUCGGAGGAAGGUGGGGAUGACGUCAAAUCAUCAUGCCCCUUAUGUCUUGGGCUUCACGCAUGCUACAAUGGCCGGCACAAAGGGCUGCAAUACCGUAAGGUGGAGCGAAUCCCAAAAAGCCGGUCCCAGUUCGGAUUGAGGUCUGCAACUCGA